GAUGAACGCUGGCGGCGUGCUUAACACAUGCAAGUCGAACGGUGAAGGCGGAGCUUGCUCUGCUGGAUCAGUGGCGAACGGGUGAGUAACACGUGAGCAAUCUGCCCCUGACUCUGGGAUAAGCGCUGGAAACGGCGUCUAAUACUGGAUACGAGCUGCGAAGGCAUCUUCAGCAGCUGGAAAGAACUUCGGUCAGGGAUGGGCUCGCGGCCUAUCAGCUUGUUGGUGAGGUAACGGCUCACCCAGGCGUCGACGGAUAGCCGGCCUGAGAGGGGGGACGGCCACACUGGGACUGAGAGAGGGCCCAGAGUGCUACGGGAGGCAGCAGGGGGGAGUAUGACACAGUGGGCGAAAGCCUGAGGCAGAAGCGCCGCGUGAGGGACGACGGCCUUCGGGUUGGAAACCGCUUUUAGCAGGGAAGAAGCGAAAGUGACGGUACCUGCAGAAAAAGCGCCGGCUAACUACGUG
rnacentral:rRNA from 1 species